GACACUUUGGCCGAGUGGUCAAGGCGUAUCCCUGCUAUCAGCACGACAAGGAUAUCCCAGAAAUGGGGCGUGAGUUCGAAUCUCACAGGUGUCG
rnacentral:tRNA from 2 species